UACGUAGGGUGCUAGCGUUGUUCGGAAUUACUGGGCGUAAAGCGCGCGUAGGCGGCUAUUCAAGUCAGGGGUGAAAUCCUUGGGCUCAACCCAAGAAUUGCCUUUGAAACUGUAUAGCUUGAGUGUCGGAGGGGAUAGCGGAAUUCCUAAUGUAGAGGUGAAAUUCGUAGAUAUUAGGAGGAACACCGGUGGCGAAGGCGGCUAUCUGGACGACAACUGACGCUGAGGCGCGAAAGCGCGGGGAGCAAACAGG
rnacentral:rRNA from 1 species